GGGUGAAUGGGAUGUCCGUCUGUCCAUCCACCACAAACACUGAGGGCCGCACGACCGUCUCCUCCAUGUCUGUGUGGACGAAACCCCGGGACGCGUGGGACUGGGCUGGCACCCGGGCGCCGUUCUGGGUUUGAGAGCACAGCCAUGAACAAGGGAGACAAAGGUCCCUGGUCUCAUGAAGCGCCUAUUCUAGCGGGGUGAGAAACACAGUGAGCUGAUAGACAAGAAAAUGCUGUACACUCGGCCCUGAACCACACAGGAGCUAGGGGCACUGACCCCCAGCACAACUGAAAGUCCACAUGUAACUACUUUUAACUCCACAGAACUUAACAGCAAGCCUGGUCAGUUCAUCCUCCAGGCCAGACCUCAGAUCCAGCCACCUGUUUCCAUCCCACUGCUGACCGCCUAGCUAAGUGCCGUGGACUGCACGUCUGUGCCCCACCCCCAGGCCAUGUGCUGAGGCCCUCAUCCCCACAGUGGUGGUAUUCAGAGGUGAGGUCUUGGGGGGUGACUGGGCCAUCAGGGUGGAGCCCUCACAGACGGGGUAAGUGUCUUUCUAAGAUGAGUCAUGAAUGAAAUGACCUCUCUGCCAUCUGAGGCCACACUGAGAAGGUAGCUGUCCGCAAGCUGUCACCAGAGGAAGGGGGCUCUCACCAGAACCUGACCAAGCUGGCCUUUCCAGCCUCCAGAACGGGGAGAAAUGAAUGGCUUGUUAUUUAAGCCACCCUGUCGAGGGCAUCUUGUUAUAGCAACCCGAACAGACUAACCAUUCUUUCUUGGACUGCUGCAGUAGCUUCCCACCUCAAUGUCCUGCGUUAACCUCUUGCGACCUUAUAAUUCAUGCUGUAGCCUCUCGCUGGCUUGAGCUCACUUAUUUAUUUAUAUUUAUUUUAUUGAGCCAAAAGUCAUAUACCAGAAAGCCAACCAUUAUAAAGUGAGCAACUCAGAGGCAUUUGGUACAUUUACAAUGUUGUGCAGUUCCAUCUAAUUCCAAAACACUUUCAAUGCUCCCCAAAGGACUCCAUAGCCAUUAAGUGGUCACUUCCCAUUCCCCAGUUGCCCCCAGCCGCCAGCAACCACCAGUCAGCUCUGUGGAUUUACGUGUCCUGGAUAUUUCAUAAAACUGGAAUCAUACACUGUGUGGCCUUUGUAUCCAGCUUCCCUCACUGAGCAUUGUUUUCAGGGUUCAUUCACCUUGUAUGUCCGGGCAUCAUUCCCUUCUGUGGCUGAGGGACGUCCCAUUUGGGUUGGACCACAUUUUGCUUUUCCACUUACACAUUGAUGGAUAUUUAAGUUGUUUGCCCCCUUUGGUUAUGGAGAAAAAUGCUGCUAUGAGCAUGUGUGCACAUAUACUUGUCUGGGUACCAGGUUUCAAUUCCUUUGGGCAUAUGCCUAGGAUUGUAAUUGCUGGUGUCAGCUUUUUAAACAUGUAAGUCAGUGUCAAUGCUUUCCUGGUUAAAACCAUGUGGUGGCUUGCCACUGACCUUGCAAGGGUCAGCAGAUUAUGGACUGUGAGUCAAAUAAUUGCACAGCCACGGCAGCCGCCCUCAGGGGCUAGCCCUUUAGUGGGCUGUAGGGAGCCAGCUGGGGCGUCCUCCUCUGUUCUUGUUCCCCACUGGCUCCCAGUGUCCACCUCCCAGUGACCACAGUCAAUGCCUCAUUGCUGUCCAUGCCCUGUGCUGAUCAUGCUGGCCGCCACCUACACAUUGCAAUGUUCUCUGCUGGCGACUGCCAGGCCACUGGGUGGAUGAUUCUCCUUCAGAGGGUUGGUGACUCAGCUAGUAGCCUUGCCUCUGGCCAGCUAAUCCAGGUAAGACAGCUGGGGCUCGGGGGAGAACGGCGGCUGGCUGGCAUCUGGGUAUCACCCCUCACCUCCUCCACCUGCCUGGACUUCAAGCCCCUCCCCAUCAGGUGGAUCACUGUCCAUCCAGAGAAUGUCUCUGGCAGCUGGGCACGAAGCACACCCAACCCCCGGGAUGGCCAGUCCCAAGCGAACUGGGCACGGCAGGGCAGAAGUGUCCUCUCUUGACCUUCCUAAUGUCCUUGAUUUUAUCUCUUGGCCCUGCAAGCCUCAAACAUUGACUAUCUGGCGCUUUAUCGGAAAGUCUGCCAUCCCGAGCUUAGAACAGAGACACUAAGCAGUCUUCACUAUCUUGAAGCCGGUGCACCCUUAUUAACGUUGCCCAGGCAUCUCGGGGCCUUUUCCCUGGUCCUUCUGCCCAAAGAGUCUUUCCCAGAUCCCCAGGCUGGCUCCUCUUUGUCAUGUACUUAAUCCAAGAAGGCUGGUCAAGCCAAAUGAUGAUGAUGGCUGGAGUCUGAAGACUAGAAAUUCAGGCAGAAUUUCUACGCCGCCAUCUCUAAUUCUUUCUUCCUCAGAAAACCCGAUCUUUUGCUCUCCGGCCCUUCAACUGAUUAGAUGAAGCCCACCCACAUUAUCCAGGGUAACCAGCUUUUAAAAUCAACUGGCUAGGUGAGAAUUGCCUCUAAAAAAUACCUUGAUUGCAGCGUUUGGAUUGCCUUUUGCCCAAACGACUGGUCACUGUAGCCUCGCUAAGUUGACGCAUGAAAUAAACUGUCACUCAAUCGAAAUGGCCUUUACAGGCUGCCCCAGGGCAGGCAGGCCUCGUGCCUCCACUCUGAACAUCUCACUGUCUGAAAUCAACUCAGUGCUGCCUUCAGAAUGUGAGUUUCAAAAGAUCUUGUCUGUGCUGUUCACAGCCAAGAACCACAGGUGGUCAAACAAAACACCCAGUAAGUUAAAGAAAUGAAGAGAGGGAAUCCCUGGGCAAGAGAAGGGGAAAUAAGUGAAAAAGAAAUGGGGUGGACAUAAAGGAGGGCAGGGGCGGGGCUGGCAGGUGUCGGCGGGACGCCCAGUGAGGGCUGAGGAUCUUUGAUUGACAGGGGUCUCUGGCGGCCCGGGCGGGGCUGGAGCCAGAGCGGGCUGGACGGUGAAUCUACUGCCCCCAUAUUCCUGGAGUUGGGGAGUGGGGGUUUCCAGGGCUUGGGGGUCUUAGGGGAAAGGGGCUUCCUUAGAGGCGACUUCCAGGCUCAGGCGAUUUCCCUGAUGACCUGAUCCGCAGGGGGGAAGCUUGGAGCCACUCUCCACAAUCUUCCAGGGUCCGCAGACUGAGUCAGAAGAGGUACCUGGGGCCCCAGUGCCCCCGGGUCCCCAGUGACGGCCUGUGGCUGCCAACCCCACGCAUUUCUGGUGGUGCUGUGACCGCGGCGGCCCCCGCACUCCCUGGGGGCUGCUGACUCAUGCCUUCCCCUCACUGCAAGCUCGGAGCUCCAGCCGGAAGCAGCGCCCCGCAGCCCCUUACCGCCCCCUCCCGGGCACAGCUGCUACCCUCGGUCCCCGAGAGGCGUGGGCUAGUCUGCUCAGGGGGGCAAAUGGAGCCAGGUGAGGAGGAGGCAGGUGGCGAACAGUUGAGAAUACAGGUAAGAGUGGGUGUGGGUGCAGAUUCCGGUAAGUUUACAGAUAAAGAUGUAGGCGGGGAGGGGAGGAUGCCCCAAAAUUC